rnacentral:piRNA from 1 species
UUNGCCACGAAUUGACUAAAGGAACUGGG